UGCUCCAUAAGAUUCUCAUGAAUUAACGUGUAACUUGCUCCAGUAUCCACGAUCGCUUUCCCAGACCAAGAUCCAAUGCUAAUUGGAACUACUAAUUGUUGAGAGUGGUGAGAAUACUUUUCAUGGGUGAAAUGUUGUUGAUGUUGACCAGAAGACUGCGGAGAAGGAGGAUGUACAUACUUUGGACAGUUUCCUGGAGGAUGCGGUCCGUUACAUCUCCAACACUGAACAAACGGUUUCUCAGCAGAUCGGUUGGAUAAUUGUUUUUGUGAAUUGGCUUGUUGUUUAAAGCCCAUACGACCUUCAUACCGAAGCUGUUCUUCAUGGUCUUUUUCCAAUUGGUGUCCAAGUCUUACCAAAUCUUCAACAGUGUUCACACGACUGCGUAACUGACUUGCAAG
ensembl:lncRNA